rnacentral:lncRNA from 1 species
UGAGUUAUACUAUUUGGAUUUUCUCCAAAUCAGGUGGGCUUUAUUUUCAGUAAUGUAUGUGGAAUUAAUAAUCUAUGUUAUCAAUGAAAAGGUAGAUAUGAUUUAUUCAUGUUUAAAUGAUUUAUUUAUGCUAUAUGUGGAAAUGAUGAGAAUGGUUUGAAUGUAAGAAUGAUGUGAAUAUGAGAAUGGUUUCACCUAUGGCUACACCUAUGGAUACACCUAUGGCUACACCAAUGGCUACACCAAUGGUUUGAAUGUAAAAAUGGUUGAAUGUGAGAAUGGUUUCACCUAUGGCUACACCUAUGGAUACACCUAUGGCUACACCCAUGGUUUCACUACGAAUGAAUUUAUGUAUGUCAAUUAUGAAUGGUUACAACUAUGAAUGAAUUGUGUGGUUAUGAUAUGAAGGUGUUUUUAACAUGCUUCAAUGUAUUUUAUUUUAAGUCUUGUUCUAUGAGAUUAGCAAGCGUUUAAAGUUGUCAUGAAGAGUCAAGCAAGUGGAAAUGCCCAUGAAUUAUCUUUUUCAGUAAAUGAUUUUUAAAAUGUUUUUAAAUGGCUCA